UACGAAGGGGCUAGCGUUGUUCGGAAUUACUGGGCGUAAAGCGCACGUAGGCGGCUUUGUAAGUUAGGGGUGAAAGCCUGGAGCUCAACUUCAGAAUUGCCCUUAAGACUGCAUCGCUUGAAUCCAGGAGAGGUGAGUGGAAUUCCGAGUUGUAGAGGUGAAAUUCGUAGAUAUUCGGAAGAACACCAGUGGCGAAGGCGGCUCACUGGACUGGUAUUGACGCUGAGGUGCGAAAGCGUGGG
rnacentral:rRNA from 1 species